rnacentral:rRNA from 1 species
UACGUAGGGUGCAAGCGUUGUCCGGAAUUAUUGGGCGUAAAGAGCUCGUAGGCGGUCUGUCGCGUCUGCUGUGAAAACUCAGGGCUUAACCCUGAGCUUGCAGUGGGUACGGGCAGACUAGAGUGCGGUAGGGGGAGACUGGAAUUCCUGGGUGUAGCGGUGAAAUGCGCAGAGUAUCAGGAGGAACACCGGUGGCGAAGGCGGGUCUCUGGGCCGUAACUGACGCUGGAGGAGCGAAA